CACUAGCGUAUAUUAAAAUUGUUGCAGUUAAAAAGCUCGUAGUUGAACCUCUGGCUGUGCGUUGUUUUGGAUUUAUUCAGGCAGCGUGCAGUCAUCCAUCUGCAAACCUUCUCGGGCAUUGAGUUGUUCGGUUAGGAGAGUAGAUAUUUUACUGUGAAAAAAUUAGAGUGUUUAAGGCAGACAAUGGUUUGAAUACAUUAGCAUGGAAUAAUAGAACAGGACACUUGUUCAUUUCGUUGGUUAUUGGACUCGUGUAAUGAUUAAUAGGGACAGUUGGGGGCAUUUGUAUUUAAUUGUCAGAGGUGAAAUUCUUGGAUUUAUUAAAGACAAACUUAUGCGAAAGCAUUUGCCAAGGAUGUUUNCAUUAA
rnacentral:rRNA from 1 species